CAGCAGUGGUUCUCAGACCUCAGUGUGCAUCAGAAUCACCUGGAAGGCUUGUGAAAACACGUAUUGCUGGGCCACACCCCCAGAAUUUCUGGAUCAGUAAAGCUGGGAUUCUUACUUUGAGUAGCCAACUUGCAGAAUACAAUAGAAUUUUGGGAGGAGCCCCUCGAUGCCUGGCUUUACUGUUGGAGAGACAGUACAGUAUACACCAGAUGACUUAUUUGUGAACCAUGGAAACGUUUGGAAAAGGACUGUUUCUGCCAUGCGUGUUACUCAUUGCCAUGGUGCUUAUGACAGUGAAGGAAAGAGUCUCACUUUGUCGCCCAGGCUGGAGUACAGUGGUGCGAUCUUGGCUCUCUGCAACCUCUGCCUCCCAGGUUCAAGUAAUUCUCCUGCCUCAGCCUCCCGAGUAGCUGGUACUACAGGCACACAUUUGUAGAGAUGGUGUUUCCCCAUGUCAUCCAGGCUGGUCUGGAACUCCUGGGAUCAAGUAAUCCACCCGCCUCGGCCUCCCAAAGUGCUGGGAUUACAGACGUGAGCCACCACGCCCUGCCAAUAAAAAGAUUAUCUCCAGAUGCUGGAAUGACCAGUAAUUUAUUUUCUUCCUUUUUUUUUGUCUGCACUUUCUACCAUAAUCAUAUGUUAGCUUCUUACUAAGAAGAAAAGUCAAUGUUAUUUCCCUGAAAAAGUAAUGUUGUUUGGUUAUUAAACAAAUUUAAUUUUCUAAACAAGAGUACGACAGGUAAACUGCCUACCUUAAAAGCAAACGAACACAAAUAAAUAAACUAACCAUCUUCCACUUCAGUCUCUGUC
rnacentral:lncRNA from 1 species